rnacentral:rRNA from 1 species
UACGAAGGGUGCAAACGUUGCUCGGAAUUAUUGGGCGUAAAGCGCACGUAGGCGGCUUGGCAAGUCGGAUGUGAAAUCCCUCGGCUCAACCAAGGAAGUGCAUCCGAAACUGCUGAGCUUGAGUACGAAAGAGGAUCGCGGAAUUCCCGGUGUAGAGGUGAAAUUCGCAGAUAUCAGGAAGAACACCAAUGGCGAAGGCAGCUCUCUGGGACGGUACUGACGCUGAGACGCGAAAGCGUGGGGAGCGAACAGG